GUAGGUGGCAAGCGUUGUCCGGAAUUAUUGGGCGUAAAGCGCGCGCAGGCGGUUUUUAAGUCUGAUGUGAAAGCCCACGGCUCAACCGUGGAGGGUCAUUGGAAACUGGAGAACCUGAGUACAGAAGAGGAAAGCGGAAUUCCACGUGUAGCGGUGAAAUGCGUAGAGAUGUGGAGGAACACCAGUGGCGAAGGCGGCUUUCUGGUCUGUAACUGACGCUGAGGCGCGAAAGCGUGGGGAGCAAACAGGGAUUAGAUACCCUGGUAGUCCACGCCGUAAACGAUGAGUGCUAAGUGUUAGGGGGGUUUCCGCCCCCUUAGUGCUGCAGCUAACGCAUUAAGCACUCCGCCUGGGGAGUACGGCCGCAAGGCUG
rnacentral:rRNA from 1 species